rnacentral:rRNA from 1 species
AGAGUUUGAUCCUGGCUCAGAACGAACGCUGGCGGCGUGGAUAAGACAUGCAAGUCGAGCGCUGAUUACAGGGUAGCAAUAUUCUGUGGUCGGAGCGGCGCAAGGGUGCGUAACACGUGGGUAAUCUGCCAUGAAGUUUGGAAUAACUUGCUGAAAGGCGAGCUAAUACCGGAUGUGACGAUCGGAAGGCAUCUUCUGAUUUUCAAAGCUGGGGACCGUAAGGCCUGGCGCUUCAUGAUGAGCCCGCGGCCUAUCAGCUAGUUGGUGAGGUAACGGCUCACCAAGGCUAAGACGGGUAGCUGGUCUGAGAGGACGACCAGCCACACUGGAACUGAGACACGGUCCAGACACCUACGGGUGGCAGCAGUCGAGAAUUUUUCACAAUGGGCGCAAGCCUGAUGGAGCGACGCCGCGUGGGGGAUGAAUGGCUUCGGCCCGUAAACCCCUGUCAUUUGCGAACAAAUUGGUUCAACUAAUACCUGAACCAUUGAUAGUAGCGAAAGAGGAAGGGACGGCUAACUCUGUGCCAGCAGCCGCGGUAAUACAGAGGUCCCAAGCGUUGUUCGGAUUCACUGGGCGUAAAGGGUGCGUAGGUGGUGAGGUAAGUCGGAUGUGAAAUCUCCGAGCUCAACUCGGAAACUGCAUUGGAAACUACCUUGCUCGAGGGUUGGAGGGGGGACUGGAAUGCUUGGUGUAGCAGUGAAAUGCGUAGAUAUCAAGCGGAACACCAGUGGCGAAGGCGAGUCCCUGGACAACUCCUGACACUGAGGCACGAAAGCUAGGGGAGCAAACAGGAUUAGAUACCCUAGUAGUCC